rnacentral:rRNA from 1 species
AUUGAACGCUGGCGGCAGGCUUAACACAUGCAAGUCGAGCGGGGUGAUGGUGCUUGCACUAUCACUUAGCGGCGGACGGGUGAGUAAUGCUUAGGAAUCUGCCUAUUAGUGGGGGACAACAUCUCGAAAGGGAUGCUAAUACCGCAUACGUCCUACGGGAGAAAGCAGGGGAUCACUUGUGACCUUGCGCUAAUAGAUGAGCCUAAGUCGGAUUAGCUAGUGGGUGGGGUAAAGGCCUACCAAGGCGACGUUCUGUAGCGGGUCUGAGAGGAUGAUCCGCGACACUGGGACGGAGGCACGGCCCAGACUCCUACGGGAGGCAGCAGGAGGAAAUAUUGGACAAUGGGGGGAACCCUGAUCCAGCCAUGCCGCGUGUGUGAAGAAGACCUUAUGGUUGUAAGGCACUUUAAGCGAGGAGGAGGCUCUUUUGGUUAAUACCCAAGAUGAGUGGACGUUACUCGCAGAAUAAGCACCGGCUAACUCUGUGCCAGCAGCCGCAGUAA